UCGGCAAGAUCCCGACGUCCAUGAGUUUCCUGGUGUCAAAGAGCCGCCCGUUCGAUGACCUCCCAGCAUCCGUGAGCAUCUUGACGUUGAAUUCUGUCGAAUCAGCAGCCUCGGUGGUCUUCGGCUACCCUCCCUGCAUCCGCAUGCAUUUCUGACCUAAGCUCCACUAGAUUGGUGACCCCCGCCACAUCCGGCUCUCUUGCUCGCAUUGCGCGCACUCUCGGAACCAGGCUCCACCG
rnacentral:lncRNA from 1 species